GCGAACGCUGGCGGCAGGCCUAACACCUUCAAGUCGAACGAACCUUUCGGGGUUAGUGGCGGACGGGUGAGUAACACGUGGGAACGUGCCUUUAGGUUCGGAAUAACUCAGGGAAACUUGUGCUAAUACCGAAUGUGCCCUUCGGGGGAAAGAUUUAUCGCCUUUAGAGCGGCCCGCGUCUGAUUAGCUAGUUGGUUGAGGUAAUGGCUCACCAAGGCGACGAUCAGUAGCUGGUCUGAGAGGAUGAUCAGCCACAUUGGGACUGAGACACGGCCCAAACUCCUACGGGAGGCAGCAGUGGGGAAUCUUGCGCAAUGGGCGAAAGCCUGACGCAGCCAUGCCGCGUGAAUGAUGAAGGUCUUAGGAUUGUAAAAUUCUUUCACCGGGGACGAUAAUGACGGUACCCGGAGAAGAAGCCCCGGCUAACUUCGU
rnacentral:rRNA from 1 species